AACCCAUGGUGCGGGCACUCUCUCUGGUACUCCUUGUACCUCUCCCAAGCUUCAUGAAAAGGUUCAUCGGACUUCUGCUUGAAAUUGGAGAUCAUGUACCGUUGAGCCG
rfam:Brassica napus, WGS project CCCW01000000 data, contig: 2428